rnacentral:rRNA from 12 species
GCCUGUAUCCACUCUGGCCUGACUGCCCUGAGCUUAGAAACUAAACAGUUGCAGGCUUGGCUGGUGCUGGGCUGGGGGGACCACCUGGGAACCUGGGUGCUGCAGGGA